GCUGAACUUAAGCAUAUCAAUAG
rnacentral:rRNA from 1 species